rnacentral:rRNA from 1 species
AUUGAAGCCCGAGUAAACGGCGGCCGUAACUAUAACGGUCCUAAGGUAGCGAAAUUCCUUGUCGGUUAAAUACCGACCUGCAUGAAUGGCGUAACGAGAUGGGAGCUGUCUCAACCAGAGAUUCAGUGAAAUUGUAGUGGAGGUGAAAAUUCCUCCUACCCGCGGCAAGACGGAGAGACCCC